rnacentral:lncRNA from 1 species
AUUUUUCCACAAAAAUUUCCUCUGAAAACUCUUUAUCGUUUCCUUACCAAAACCCUGAAGAGGGAGCUCUUUCUCUCCUUCUCCAGUGGCCUUUCCUUUUCUUUUUUGUUUUUUUGUUACAGCCUCCUCAUCCUUAUGGAUUGAGGAUGGAUGUCUUGUUUUAGCCUCCUCCACUUUCAGGUGUGAGGAUGCAAGAUCUACUUCAGUUUCUUCCUCCUUCAGCUAUGAGUAAAGAUUGCUGUGUGGGAUCAAUUUUUAUAAAAAAUCUAGUUUGGUAUACCAGUUGGAAACUCUUAACUAUGUUGAUAGAUAUUGCACCAAAAGAGUCAGGGAAUCACGAUUGGAGCUUGAACUAUCUCUGUACUGUGCUUUUAAUUCAUGGAUAUAUAGAAGCGUUUCUUCUUGGUCUUCAGUAUGGUUUUAUGGGUUAAUCCAAUUGGUCUCUAUAAUUUGAUCUCUGUCAUAUGUACUAAUGAUGUGGUACGUGCGAAUAUUAUUGUACUGUUGUUAUUUGUUUAAUGAAAUAUUACAUUUUCCUGUCAAA